rnacentral:rRNA from 1 species
GGGGGAGGUUACAUGCAGUCGAACGGAGACGGAGCUGGAAGGGACAGUUUACUGUAACGGAAAGAUCUGUCUUAGUGCCUUACGGGUGAGUAACGCGUGGGCAACCUGCCCUGUACCGCCGGAUAACACUUAGAAAUAGGUGCUAAUACCGCAUAAUAGGGAAUACCGCAUGGUAAUCCUUUGAAAACUCCGGUGGUACAGGAUGGGCCCGCGUCUGAUUAGCCAGUUGGCGGGGUAACGGCCCACCAAAGCGACGAUCAGCAGCCGGCCUGAGAGGGUGGACGGCCACACUGGGACUGAGACACGGCCCAGACUCCUACGGGAGGCAGCAGUGGGGAAUAUUGCACAAUGGGGGGAACCCUGAUGCAGCGACGCCGCGUGAGUGAAGAAGUAUUUCGGUAUGUAAAGCUCUGUCAGCAGGGAAGAAGAAAGACGGUACCUGACCAAGAAGCCCCGGCUAACUACGUGCCAGCAGCCGCGGUAAUACGUAGGGGGCAAGCGUUAUCCGGAUUUACUGGGUGUAAAGGGAGCGUAGACGGCAGGGCAAGUCUGGAGUGAAAGGCAGGGGCCCAACCCCUGGACUGCUCUGGAAACUGUCCGGCUGGAGUGCAGGAGAGGUAAGUGGAAUUCCUAGUGUAGCGGUGAAAUGCGUACAUAUUAGGAGGAAACCCAUUGGCGAAGGCGGAUUACUGGACUGUAA